GAUGAACGCUGGCGGCGUGCUUAACACAUGCAAGUCGAACGGAAAGGCCCUGCUUUUGUGCGGUGCUCGAGUGGCGAACGGGUGAGUAACACGUGAGUAACCUGCCCUUGACUUUGGGAUAACUUCAGGAAACUGGGGCUAAUACCGGAUAGGAGAUCCUGCUCCAUGGUGGGGGUUGGAAAGUUUCGGCGGUUGGGGAUGGACUCGCGGCUUAUCAGCUUGUUGGUGGGGUAGUGGCUUACCAAGGCUUUGACUGGUAGCCGGCCUGAGAGGGUGAACGGGCACAAUGCUACUGAGAGACGGCCCAGACGCCAACGGGAGGCAACAGGGGGGAGUAUGACACAAUGGGCGCGAGCCUGAGACAGCAACGCCGCGUGCGUAAUGACGGCCUUCGGGUUGUGAACCGCUUUCGCCUGUGACGAAGCGUGAGUGACGGUAAUGGGUAAAGAAGCACCGGCUAACUACGUG
rnacentral:rRNA from 1 species